rnacentral:rRNA from 1 species
CAGUCGUACCUUCGGGUAAUCAGCCUUUCGGGUGCGACUCUGUGGGGCGUGAGGAGUUUAACCGCCUUCAUGUUUUGCAUAUUCGUGCACAUUUGGUGUACUUGUCCGUGUGGUGGGUCAACAUCAAUUUCGGUCGUCAUAAAAUGAUUGGAGGAAUGUAGCUUUGAUCUCGUAUCGAAG